ACAGGGUGAUAGCCCCGUACACGAAAACUAACUUUGUGUGAAAUCGAGUAGGACGGGACACGUGAUAUCUUGUCUGAACAUGGGGGGACCAUCCUCCAAGGCUAAAUACUCCUGACUGACCGAUAGUGAACCAGUACCGUGAGGGAAAGGCGAAAAGAACCCCUGUGAGGGGAGUGAAAUAGAACCUGAAACCGUGUACGUACAAGCAGUGGGAGCCCUUCGGGGUGACUGCGUACCUUUUGUAUAAUGGGUCAGCGACUUACAUUUUGUAGCGAGGUUAACCGAAUAGGGGAGCCGUAGGGAAACCGAGUCUUAACUGGGCGAAUGAGUUGCAAGGUGUAGACCCGAAACCCGGUGAUCUACCCAUGGGCAGGUUGAAGGUUGGGUAACACCAACUGGAGGACCGAACCGACUAAUGUUGCAAAAUUAGCGGAUGACUUGUGGGUAGGGGUGAAAGGCCAAUCAAACCGGGAGAUAGCUGGUUCUCCUCGAAAGCUAUUUAGGUAGCGCCUCGUAUCUCACCAUUGGGGGUAGAGCACUGUUAAGGCUAGGGGGUCAUCCCGACUUACCAACCCUUUGCAAACUCCGAAUACCAAUGAGUGCAAUUACGGGAGACACACGGCGGGUGCUAACGUCCGUCGUGGAGAGGGAAACAACCCAGACCGCCAGCUAAGGUCCCAAAGUUCUAGUUAAGUGGGAAACGAUGUGGAAAGGCUCAGACAGCCAGGAUGUUGGCUUAGAAGCAGCCAUCAUUUAAAGAAAGCGUAAUAGCUCACUGGUCGAGUCGGUCUGCGCGGAAGAUGUAACGGGGCUAAACUAGACACCGAAGCUGCGGAUGCACACUU
rnacentral:rRNA from 1 species